rnacentral:rRNA from 1 species
CGUCUGGGGGGGAGAGUGGCGAACUGGUGAGUAACACGUAGGUGACCUGCCCCGAAGAUGGGGAUAACCGUUGGAAACGGCGGCUAAUACCCAAUGUGCUCGGUGAUUCGUUUUGCCGAGUAAAGCUUUGGCGCUUCGGGAUGGACCUGCGGCCUAUCAGCUAGUUGGUAGGGUAAUGACCUACCAAGGCAGAGACGGGUAGGGGGCGUGAGAGCGCGACCCCCCACACUGGCACUGAGACACGGGCCAG